rnacentral:rRNA from 1 species
AUGAACGCUGGCGGCGUGCCUAAUACAUGCAAGUCGAGCGAACAGACGAGGAGCUUGCUCCUCUGACGUUAGCGGCGGACGGGUGAGUAACACGUGGAUAACCUACCUAUAAGACUGGGCUAACUUCGGGAAACCGGAGCUAAUACCGGAUAAUAUAUUGAACCGCAUGGUUCAAUAGUGAAAGACGGUUUUGCUGUCACUUAUAGAUGGAUCCGCGCCGCAUUAGCUAGUUGGUAAGGUAACGGCUUACCAAGGCGACGAUGCGUAGCCGACCUGAGAGGGUGAUCGGCCACACUGGAACUGAGACACGGUCCAGACUCCUACGGGAGGCAGCAGUAGGGAAUCUUCCGCAAUGGGCGAAAGCCUGACGGAGCAACGCCGCGUGAGUGAUGAAGGUCUUCGGAUCGUAAAACUCUGUUAUUAGGGAAGAACAAAUGUGUAAGUAACUAUGCACGUCUUGACGGUACCUAAUCAGAAAGCCACGGCUAACUACGUG